AAGGAAUAUUGGUCAAUGGGCGCAAGCCUGAACCAGCCACGCCGCGUGAAGGAUGACGGCCCUAUGGGUUGUAAACUUCUUUUCUACGGGAAUAAACCUCAUUACGUGUGAUGAGCUGAAGGUACCGUAGGAAUAAGCAUCGGCUAACUCCGUGCCAGCAGCCGCGGUAAUACGGAGGAUGCAAGCGUUAUCCGGAUUCAUUGGGUUUAAAGGGUGCGUAGGCGGGACGGUCAGUCAGGGGUGAAAGC
rnacentral:rRNA from 1 species